rnacentral:lncRNA from 1 species
UGCCAAUCUGGAACUGAAAGUGGUAAAACACCCACAUAGGCCUACCCCCUUACUGUAGAAUGCAAACACAAUACAUUUCCUCAUUAUAAGUGGUUUGCUAAUGUAGACACACUUCAGGUAGAAAAAGAAUCCACAUCCAUCACUCCAGCAUUUACCAGAGUUUUACCUCAGUCAGUUGGAGAAGAAAAUGAGUUUGUCUGAGUUUGAGAUUAAGCUUGGCAGGGAGGUUAAGAAAUACCCCAAUCUUUACAGUUCAAGAGAUACAAUAAUUAAUUAUAAUGAUUGGAUUAUAGUAGCUCAUAUUCUCAGCAAAGGUAAAAGAGAAAUGGACUUCAGCUUUUGCAGGACAACGUGGAAAAAGAUGAGGAAAAACUAUGUCAGAGAGCAUAAUACAAAGAUCAAGAGCGGCAAUUCAAGUGUUGGACUAAAAGAUCCGGAGAUAUUACAGGAGUUGAACUGGCUCUCCCCCUUCAUAAAACACAAAGCCCAACCGACCAACAUUCCAGGAGGAGAGGUGAGCUGUGUGUUUGAAUGAAGUACCACAAUUAGAAUCACUCUGAACAUUUAGAGGACUUUCUUGUGACUUAAUAAAAUAUUCUUCCUACCUAUACUAGGGAGUUUUCUCCUGCUUAAAACAGCAUGCUAAUAUCACUGACUAUUUAUUCAUGUGGUUUACUUAAUCCUGUGAUGUUCAGUGUGUGUGCGUGCGUGUGUCCCCAUUAAUGCAGGGUCUGGUAGCAAGAGGGCGAGGAGAGACUGGAGGCAGUCGUGAUGCGUCGUUGGACAGAUACCACAAUUUCACCACCUUGUCCACCCCUGCAGCAGACGGCACCUUUACCCCUCCUGUAACCACACACAUCAGACCCUUCAGACACAUGUCCACCCUAACACAGUCUGGGGACAGCCUCUCUUCAUCUAAACCAAGCUCCAGUUCUACCAGUGGACCAGUCCAACCAAGGAAGAGAACACAGGACAGAGUAGAUCAAGCCCCCAGAAAGAACCCUAAGAAUGCUGAUAAAACCAGAGAGCAUGGGGUCAGUAGUAUGGGAGGUGGUGAUGAAGGUGACACCUUACUUGUUCUGCUAGCCGUCGCGAGAGGACAAGGAGAGACUGGAGGAAGUGGUGAGGCGUCGAUGGACAGAUUCCCCUGUCGUUUCACCCCCUUGUCCACCCCUGAAGCAGACAGCACCUUCACCCCUCCUGUAACCACAUCUAUCAGACACCCCAGACUAGGGUUGCAAAGCUACCGACCCACAUCUACUCUGAAACAGUCUGGGGGCGGCCCCACUACGCCUAAACCAAGCUCCAGCUCUACCAGUGGACCAGCCCAACCAAGGAAGAGGACACAGCACAGAGUAGAACAAGCCCCCAGCAAGAACCUUAAGACUGCUGAUAAUACCAGAGAGCAUGGGAGUCUGGUAGCGAGAGGACAAGCAGAGACUGGAGGCAGUGGUGAGGCGUCGAUAGACAGAGACCUCUGUCGUUUCAACCCAUUGUUCACCCCUGCAGCAGGCAGCACCGUUACCCCUUCUGUAACCACACACAUCAGACCCACAUCUACUCUGAAACAGUCUGGGGGCGGCCCCACUACGCCUAAACCAAGCUCCAGCUCUACCAGUGGACCAGCCCAACCAAGGAAGAGGACACAGCACAGAGUAGAACAAGCCCCCAGCAAGAACCUUAAGACUGCUGAUAAUAGCAGAGAGCAUGGGGUCAGUAGUAUGGGAGGUAGUGAUGAUGGUGACGCUUUACUUAGCCAUAUUAUAAUUUCAACGCUAAGUGAAAUGCCGCCUGAACUGAAGUCCCAAGCUAAAUCAGAUAUGCUGAAACUGCUUUCUGCAAUGCAGGAAAAGUUGUCACAGCAUCAGAGUAGUACCAAUGUUAAUCACUGAUUAUGUUUUUCAACAGUGAACUUCCAUCAUUUAUACAUUAGAAUUCACAUCAGCAUACAUUUUAAAUAGUAGGAAAAUAUGUUCUGAAUGCUACUUGUGCAGAUAUUGCAUUAACUAGAUACUAAAGGACAAAGGCUACAUUGACACAGGCAGCCCAAAUCUUUUGCCAAUACAUGGGCAAAGUAUCAGAAUUAGGCUGCUUGUGUAAACGUAGCCUAAGAAUCCUAGUGUACAGAUUGAAUACUUUUUUCAUAUUCAUUUCAGUUAAAUUUGAAUUUAAUUUGGCAAUCAUAUCCCCAAACAUGUGUUCUUAUAUGACCGAACAGUGUUAUAACCGAGGUCUACUGCGCACCACAAGAUUGUGUUUUCCCUGUGAGCUAAAGCUUAGGCAUUAGUUCAGGGAGCCUCAUUGGCUAGUAGUUACACUACAUGUUCAAUUGUAGAAGAUGUUGCACCGUCUACAUCUAUAAAUAAUAAAGCUUGCCAACAUUCUUUCCUGUCAUGCCUGCUAAUAUGAAAAGCUACAGUUUUCCAAAAUAAAAAAUGUCAAAACAACGUCUAUUUGUGUCAAAUAUUUGUUUUGUUAACAGACUGAUGGUAGUCUUCUUUUCCGGUACAUGGGUUAUGUGGGGUUGUUUUGUGGCGUGAUUGUGUUUUACUAAUCCGUAUAUGAUACGAGUCUUGUGACGUGACACUUCUUCCAACCUCUCCGAAGACUGAC